UCAGUAGGGUAGUAAGAACGAUUCUCCAUAGGUGACAGCAGGUCAGACUGAGAACAUCUAGGAAGGACACUGUGUGUGAAAUAGCACCUGUAGUAUCACUGCAGAACAGGGCAAUGGUGUAGCAGAAAUGCCAAGUCACGGCUUGAAGCAGUGAUGGAGCACCUGGUGGAAAGCAGGGCCAGCCUAAGGGAGCUCAGGUGCAUGCAAGGGGUACAGCCAGGAUCCACCCCUUCCUAGCCCUCAUUUAAGGUUUGGUAAGGAGGUGAGAGCAUCUUGCUAGACAUCCCUGCCUAUCUGAGGCUUUCUGAAGGUAUGUGGCUGCUUGCAGAAACAGACCUAUCAUGCUGCUCUAAGUUGCUUAGAGGAUUUCUGGCCAGAUUGAUUCUGCUAAACCUGUGAUGGGUGAGCUACCUGAUGGUGCUGCUUACUGAAGAGGGACCAUUCAGACCUCCUGCUUGAAGACUCCAUGUGUGAUUGUUUCAUUUUCAUUUUAUUUUGAAAGCUUAUAGAUUGCUUUUGUUGGUGGCUAUGCUACUAUGAUAGUAUCAACAUGUGUGAUAUUAGCCUCAGGGGUUUAAAAUAGGAUUUUACUCC